rnacentral:rRNA from 1 species
CAAGGCAAGGAUACAUAGCGUACCUGAUAUGAGAAUCAGCCCCCCUGCGUUUGAGACGCGGCCCAGUCUCCUCCCCUACGCGGCAGUAGGGUGUCUAAUACAAUGGACUGACGUCUGUCUAGCCACCCGCGUGACUGCGAGAUUUUGCGGAUCUUAGUUCUCUGUUGCAAGAGUAUAACGAGUGUGAGAGGGGAAAGUUCCAUUGCACGGCCAUUACCAGAAGGGGCGGGCAAACUACGUGCCAGCAGCGGCGGUAUUACGUAGGUCCCGACCUUAGUCCGGAUUUAUUGGUUUAAAGGCGAGCGCAGGCGAGAGAUAAGUCUGAAGUUAAAUGCUGUCUCUUCGUCAUAGUACCCUUUCGAAACUGUUUCACUUGAGUGCAAGAGGGGAGAGUGAAUUCCAUGUGUAGCGGUGAAAUGCGUAGAUAUAUGGAGGAACACCGGUGGCGAAAGCAGCUCUCGGGCUUGCAACUGACGCUGAAGCUCGAAAGUGUGGGGAUCAAACAGG